rnacentral:lncRNA from 1 species
AUUUUAUACUUCUUUGAGCUAACUUACAGUUUAACUGUUUUCACCAGCAAUUUACCGUUACAGGUAAUGUCUUUUUAUAACGAAUUUACAAUGAUUUAUAUUUGCAUACUCUCAACUGCAUGAACGUGGGGAAAUAUCAUAUAUUAACCUAUCAACGAUAUAUAUAUUAAAGUACGAUUGCUAAAUUUUCUGAUAAAACAAUUUUUUAAAAUUUUUAUAUUUUUGUAAAAGGGUCAAAGUAAAUACUUUGUCAAAAUGUUAAGAAAAUUAAACGAGCCAAAUUAAUUUUAGUUUAAGUUUUAGUUACUACCUUAAAACUCACUUUCUCGUAGUUAUUACAUUGCAUGUAACAUUUACUUUUGCAAGUUAUCACUGACAAUUUAUUUUGCGAGUAACAUUGAAGUAUUUUUUUUUUUUUAGAAAAAUCCGUUUAUUUUCGGAAAAGUAUCUAAGAUUCUUGUUAAACCAUUCGGUUUGCCGUAAAUUUAAUUUUUUUUCUGUUCAUGUACUAAAAAACUUUAUGUAGAGGAAUAAGAAUAGAACUUUACGAACAUGUGUUCCAUUAAACCAUAUGUAUCAGAAUAUAUGGUUUUAAACACUCAUCAGUGGACUCCGGCUUAAAUGUAUAAAUGCAUAAACUACGAAGUUAAAUACACUGCGGACCGAAAAUGUCGAAACUUGUGUCAUAAUAUAUAAGAAUAAAUGUCUGUUACUUUCUCAUAUCUUUUAAAAAAAAUCUCAUUACAUAUUAUAAGUAAUAAACGCAAUGAAAUGUUGAUAGACAAUGACAAUUACAGUACAGUUCACAAAAGCUAUUUUGCACCUGAUCCAACAUAAGGAAAUAUGAUCCACACUUUUAUAUAAUAGUGUUCACGUGACUAUUUUGUAUAAAACAAAACGCAUCCGAUCAUAUCGCUACCUAUUCCGAAUCUUACUACGGCUUAGGCUGUUUUCAAUUUUUUGUAGAAGGUAUGUGUUAAAUGUAAAUUAUUAAAUAUUACGUGUUCGUUUACUUUUAGAAAAUGAUUAACAAAAACGUUUAAUGUUAUAUGUUUAGAAAUAUAUACUCUUAAUAGUUUUUUUCUCUCUGAUUUUAAUCUCAAAACAAAAUCGGUUAUUAAUUUUCGUUUUUUUUUUUAUUAUAUUUUCAUAUGUGAUAUUUAUAUAUUGCCUUCAUCACUCCAGGCUUCAUAAUAAUAAUACCAAUACGUUCCCAAAUAUAUAGUUGUUUCGUGUGUUUAAGCAGUCAUUUUUUUUAUAUGACAAUGUCUAUUUACAAAUCAGAUCCGUGGUCACCUCUUCCGAUUUUGUAUUCAAAAGGAAAAAAGUGGUAUUCUGAAUGUCAUCGAUUCUAUAUCAUAUUGAUAACAUUUAUAUGUGAGAUCUUUGGUAUCUUCUUCUUAACAGUACGUGUUUAGUGAAGUUAUUCUAGUAGAGUAAAAAUAUCUAAAUUUUCACCAACCGAUGUUUUGCAUAGUGUAAAAAAAACUAUUUCAUCUAAAUUAAAUUCAUUGAUUUAUUAAAGUGUUUCUAUGUACUAACAAGUAUUUUAUUAGAUUUAAUUUGAAGAAAUUUAUUUUAACAUUGGUUUACCGUCACUUUGGUUUGUACACAAUACAUACAAACUGGAUAUCAUGUCAGAGUACCGAAUCAUGUAAAAGAUUAUUAGAAGUAUAACGCUGUUCAGUAACCAAACCUCGAAAACAAAAAUCUGGGUUACAAACCAAAACCGAGAGAAACACAUCGACUUAAAGCGAAAAACAACAGAAAAAUUGAACUGCAACAAAAACAAAAGCCAACGUUCACCUUAAUGCAUUUUUAAUAACAACUGCUAUAUUCCUGUAUUGGUACGUCAAUCACAACAAUAAUGGCAAAGCGAAAAAAGAACCUCAUAAAGUCUAACGUAAACUACACUUUUUCUUACAGGAUGUUUGAUUUAUAAAAAAAGGAAGAUGAAAAUGUUCGAGGUAAGUGAUUGCGUAUUUAUCUUAAUUUUUUACUUUUUAAUAUUGUGUCGUCAUUCUCAUAUUUAAUGCAUUUCCCUCGGGUUUGGUUUGUGACCAGGACUUGUUUUUUAUGAGUUUUGAACAUCGGUAUACUACGCCUUUAUUUAGUGUAAUUGUAUCUCUUUAAAAAGACAGUGAGAUCAGGCAAUGAUGCUAUCAAUAUAUAAAUAACACAUAACUGAGAGGGUGAUAGAGCAGAUUGUUACCCGGAGAAAACAUAGUCAACUGCGCAGCCAAGGUUGACAAUGCUUUUUCGAGGGGUACCAAUCUGCUCUAUCAGCCUCUAAGCUAUGUGUUAUUUAAUUCAUUAUACUAAAUGUCCUAUCGUUAUUGUCUUUUACAGAUGCAUUUUAUUUGAAAAUAUUUUCUAUGACGUCAUGUACAUAACAACGUUAUGGGUAUUAUAAAAAUCAACAGAAGUGAAGCAAGAUGUUGUUUUUUUUUUAUUUUUUUACAUUUAAAUAAUAGAAUCUGAGCCAAAACGUAGAACUUAAGCAUUGUCUUUAAUAAUUUGAUGUAAAUUCAAUUCUCGAUUUUGUAUUGGUCUGGACGAGAGGGUGACAUUCAAAAAAAGUGUCACCCUCUCAGCCAUGUGAUAGAGUAAAUUAACGCCCUCGUAUCAGCCAAUCGAAAUAUGGAAUUUUAACGUGAAGUAUAAUAAAAUAUUUUGUCGUUGAUAUGUGCUUUUUAAGUUUUAAAUACUAGUAUACACACGUUGAUAAUUAUUUUGAGUAUUCCAUGUAUUGUAUGGAUUCGGGGAUAUGUAAAGAAAUCCGAUAUUCAAGUUGAUAAUAAUUUUAUGUUCACUAACUAAAGUACGAAUCUUUGCAAAUACAUUUCUUAUCAAAAUCGUUAUUCAUCAAACUAAUAGUGUGUUUGGCAGGUAAUAUGCACAAUGUCUUUGAUAUACAUUAUUUUUGUUCAAUAGUACCUCGAAGAAUGUGUAAUCCUCUGAUUUACCAUUUUGUGUAUUAAGUUAGAUAAUAAUUUAGUCGAAACAUCCUGUUUUAUUCCAAUAUGAACGAUAAAUUUAUUAUAUAAAACAGGAGUGAACUUUGGUAUAUGUGCAAGAUGCGAGCCUCGUCUACAAAAGACCCAUCAGUGACGCUCGAAUAAAAACAAGUUCAGUAAGCGAAAUAAAUAAAUGAAUACAUUAUAUCGACAAUGAUUUUUUUAUUUCAUUUAAAAAUAAAUAUUUUAGUUUAAUAUGGUUAUUUAAACAACCUUUUCAUAAAUCUGUUUCCCAAUUAUCUCUUUUUCUUUUUCAGAUAAUUAUAAAACAUUAUGGAUCCUGGUCCUGAUGGGGGACGUUAAAUUACAUCAAUUAACAAACAGUCGUCUGGUGGGAGAACGACGUUAUAAAUUGAUAAACUGUAGCAAAAUACUUCCACGUUUCACAAGUGUCUUUUAACAUCAUCACAGACUUGCUUGGCUUGUUUGUGUUUAAAACUUGAUAUGUUAAUAUUUUGCACCUGCAAAUAACCAGUUUUAUCAUUUUGGACUUUCGAUGACCGGGUUUAUUAUUUUGGACUUGGAAUUACUAGAUUGAUCUGUUUGGACAUGCAAUAACUUGAAUUAUCAUUUAAGAUUGAUAACCGAAUUUAUCCAUUUGGACUAGCAUGCAUCAGAUUUAUCAUUUUGCACAUAUCUGGACUCUUCUUUAAAUAAUUGAAAACGAUAAAGAUUUAAAAGAUAAAAUGAUAUAUACAUAAAAAAAAAAUUAAAGCUUUCUUGUAGUCUUCCUUUUACAGGUGUGUACAUUGGAAGUGGAAAUAUAUCUCAUUGAACGCAUAUUUAUGCACAAGAAAUGUAUAGUGCACGAGUGAAGUUUGCACAGGAUAGUAUCUUUAUUUUUAAACCAGAAUAUUAGCUUUGGAUUAAAAAAAAGAAAGAAGAUGAAACACAUGAAGAAGAAACACA